rnacentral:misc_RNA from 1 species
GAUGAAGAACGCAGUGAAAUGCGAUACGCAAUGUGAAUUGCAGAAUUCAGUGAAUCAUCGAGUCUUUGAACGCACAUUGCGCCCCCUGGUAUUCCGGGGGGCAUGCCUGUCCGAGCGUCAUUGCUGCCCUCAAGCACGGCUUGUGUGUUGGGCCUCCGUCCUCCUCCCGGGGGACGGGCCCGAAAGGCAGCGGCGGCACCGCGUCCGGUCCUCGAGCGUAUGGGGCUUCGUCACCCGCUCUUGUAGGCCCGGCCGGCGCUUGCCGACACAUCAAUCUUUUUUCCAGGUUGACCUCGGAUCAGGUAGGGAUACCCGCUGAACUUAAGCAUAUCAAUAAGCGGAGGA